AGAGUUUGAUCCUGGCUCAGAAUCAACGUUGGCGGCGCGCUUAACACAUGCAAGUCGAACGAGAAAGUGGAGCAAUCCAUGAGUACAGUGGCGUACGGGUGAGUAACACGUGGGUAUCUACCUCUUAGUGGGGAAUAACCCUGGGAAACCGGGGCUAAUACCGCAUAAGCCUGAAAGGGGAAAGUCGAAAGACGCUGAGAGAGGAGCCCGCGGCUGAUUAGCUAGUUGGUGGGGUAAAGGCUCACCAAGGCAAAGAUCGGUAGCCGGCCUGAGAGGGCACACGGCCACACUGGCACUGAAACACGGGCCAGACUCCUACGGGAGGCAGCAGUGGGGAAUCUUGCACAAUGGGGGAAACCCUGAUGCAGCGACGCCGCGUGAGCGAUGAAGCCCUUCGGGGUGUAAAGCUCUUUCGACGGGAACGAUAAUGACGGUACCCGAGAAGA
rnacentral:rRNA from 1 species